AUUGAACGCUGGCGGCAGGCCUAACACAUGCAAGUCGCGCGGAUGAAGGGAGCUUGCUCCUGGAUUCAGCGGCGGACGGGUGAGUAAUGCCUAGGAAUCUGCCUGGUAGUGGGGGAUAACGUCCGGAAACGGGCGCUAAUACCGCAUACGUCCUGAGGGAGAAAGUGGGGGAUCUUCGGACCUCACGCUAUCAGAUGAGCCUAGGUCGGAUUAGCUAGUUGGUGGGGUAAAGGCCUACCAAGGCGACGAUCCGUAACUGGUCUGAGAGGAUGAUCAGUCACACUGGAACUGAGACACGGUCCAGACUCCUACGGGAGGCAGCAGUGGGGAAUAUUGGACAAUGGGCGAAAGCCUGAUCCAGCCAUGCCGCGUGUGUGAAGAAGGUCUUCGGAUUGUAAAGCACUUUAAGUUGGGAGGAAGGGCAGUAAAUUAAUACCUUGCUGUUUUGACGUUACCAACAGAAUAAGCACCGGCUAACUUCGUG
rnacentral:rRNA from 1 species